GUGAGAGUCAGAGGAAAUCAGCAUAAGAUCCAUCAAAUGGCCAAGGUGGGUGGCUCACACCUGUAAUCCCAGCACUUUGGGAGGCCGAGGUGGGCAGGUCACUUGAGGCCAAGAGUACGAGACCAGCCUGGCUAACAUGGUGAAAACCCAUUUCUACUAGAAAUACAGAAAUUAGAUGGUCAUGGUGAAGCACGCCUGUAAUCCCAGCUACUCAGGAGGCUGAGGCAGAAGAAUCACUUGAAUCCGGGAGGCAGAGGUUGUAGUGAGCCGAUAUCGUACCACUGCACUCCAGCCUGGGUGACAGAGUGAGACUCCACCUCAAAAAAGAAUAAAAUAAAGACCCAUCAAACAAAAAAUAAGCAAACUGAGAAGGAAAGGUUUAAUAACAUGCCCAAGGUCACACAGAUAAGAAGAUGCAUGCACAGCCAAGAUUCCAGUGUUCUGGUCCUCGGAGCCCACACAGUCAUCACCAGGAGGCUACACUGCCUCUUCCUCACUGAAACAUGCAAGGUUUCCCGUGAGUGCCAUGUUACUGGAAGAGACUUUGACAGCUAACUCUCUGGAAUGUUGAGGUUGCAACUGGGUAUCGUGGACUUACUUCUGUGAUAUCUUCAAUGACCAGGGGCUUUGCGGAAGUUCAAUGGGAUUCUGGUUUUGUGAAGCAGUGGAUAUGCUGGGUUUGUAUAACAACAUGUGGAGCAUCAUGGGAAGAUGUCAUUCAAAUGCAAACAGUCCUUUCUACUGCCAUUGCCACGACGGUAGUCCAGUGCCUCAUGACCCCAAUCCUAGAACGAUGCAGUAGGCUCUCAGCUCUCUCAGCUCAGUGCUUUUCAAAUCCUGGAUGCAGAUGACGAUCAUCCAACUACAGAUUCUCAGGCCACCCCAGGCAUACCAAGUCAGAAUCCUUGGGGGCUAAAAAAAUAAGGAAAGAAAGAAAAAAAGGAAGAAAAAGAAACAGGCAGAAAUAGGUCCUUGUCUUGGAAGGAACACUGAGCACUGGGUAAAGAGUCUCACCCAGGUCUCAUCUCUACCUUUCUGUAAAAAGAAAAAGCCUUCAACAGAUGCUGUUUCUUUAGUCACUUCAACCACAGGAAGAUGUCAAAUUCAGAAUGGCAUUUUUCACUUAUAAGAAAAAGAUCUGAAAACCCAAACUUGGAAUCUCAAAGAAAGCUUAAGUGGAAAGGACAUCUUUCAAUAACCAACAUCAUCAUCUUUCCCAUGUACUACCAUCCCAACAGACAGAGACAUCCAGGGAGUCCUGCUCUGUGAAGCACUUUUCAGGAAACAAUCAGCUUAAGACAUCACCCAUCCAAUUCACUUUGACUCUGAUGAACAGUGUCAUCGCUCCUCAGAAAAAUGAAACAGGAGUGGCAUAUAGUCAUGAUGACAGCCAGCUAACCAUUGGGAUCACAUGAAUAAGAGUGCAUCUUACAGAUUCGAGGAAAUCUGAGAACAUUUACAGAGCAUCCAGUGAGUGCCAAGAAUUUUAUAUGUGCCAUAUAGCACGUAAUCUUCACAGUCACACUCUCAAAAUCCAUAUUAUAAACUCCACCUCACAGAUGUUAAUAAGUGACUUCAUAUGGCAAGGUUUGUUUUCUCGCUUCAAAUGAACCACAUCCAGUAGGUAAAGGCCAAAGCCACACUGCAGAGACAUGAUGACAAAGGGUGGUCAUAGCCUCAAAAACAUGUUCUUCCAACGUCGUUAUGAAUGCCAUUCCAAUUAACUUCCCCACUAUUCCCUGGAAAAAUAUCCUUUGACCUCUGCUCAGACAACGUGGGAAGCCCUGUUUUGAAGCAAAUCUGUGGUAUGAGGAGAUGAAAACCUAGCCUAGGACAGAUGCACUGACAGAGUGGGAUUCUUGAGAAGUAUUGCAAAGUUAGGUAGAACUUGGUGAUCAAGUAAAUUACAACUGUUACAAGAUAAUAAACAAAGAAUUUGAUCCCCCAGACCCUCUCUGCAUAUCUUUUUUCUUCUGUCUUCUGGUAAUUAGUGCCUCAAUUUUCCUUUAGGGGACAGCUCUUCCUCCUCCAGUUCUGCAUUGUCUGAGGCAGGCUGAUGC
rnacentral:lncRNA from 1 species